ACAAGUUAAAAAGUUGAAGUUACCUCUUCAGUUAAAGUUGAACACUGCAGUUACCCUUGAGUUCAAGUUUCGUUAACAAGUUGGAAUGUUUUCCCGUUACUACCAGUUGUUUAAAAGUGAAGCAAGUGACAAGCUUAACAGCCCCUUCAAACAGGUGAGUGGUCUGUCAAUCAUCCCCUUCCCUCCUAAUAUCCCAUUAUUAAUUUUAGUUUAAUUUAUACCUUUCCAUCUUUCUUUCAGGAUUUAGGAAUCCUAUUGCUGGACCUUGAAGUGGGUGAAAAAAAGGAGUUUCUUUCAGCAAAUCACUGGGCUUGGAACUCUUGUUUUUGUGAUCGGUGGAGUUCAACCAUGGUGCGAUUCUCCUUGGCCAGCCUUUGGAUUUCUUUAGCAACCUGCAGCACUCUCGGAUUCAGGCGACAUAUGAGGACCACCAAGGCCUGUCUCACUCCGACCCUCUGGCAGGAGAUGGUUCCGGAACUCCUGCUCCCACUUCCUGAAUUCCUUGUUUUUUUUUUAUU